AAAGCCUGUUGCCUUCGCCUCUUCUACAGAUGGGUGUCCUUCAUGAGUCUCUGUGUGGCAUUCUGCACUGACAUGUUGCCUUGAAGUCGACAGAAACCACAACAUUUUGUAGAAAAUACAACUUGGGAAAUAUUUUGUUCACUCCUUUUAUGAAACAUCAAAAAUGAAACUCAAAGCCAGCCCUGAUGUCACACACCUGCGACCCAGCACCGGGGACGCUGAGGCAGGAGGACCACCAGUUCCAGAAUAAACAUCACGGGCACCAACAACCCUACACCAUCCCUCGCACCAUCUGUCCUACAACACACAGUAGAUAAAGAAUGUGAAGUGCAUGCUACAGGAUUUUUAGGAACAUUAACAGACCAUGGUGCAUAGUAGGAUACCACAGCCUGCUAAAGUUAGUGCCGUAAGAGAAAUACUACCCGUACUCGGAGAAGCAGCUCUGUGGCCACGUCCACCUUCUGACUAAGGAGCUCCUGCAGCUGCAGAAUUGACCCUUGAUGCUGCGCAACCAUCCUGUCUCCUAGAUCACAGGACGGCGUCUCCAGUAAAAUUAACUUCAGCUUCUUGAUCAACUGAAACGUAAAGAAUAUUUCAUCAUUCACCUGGAAAAUGGCCCAUCAUUUUCAGAUCAAGAAGAGAAAUUCUUUCCCGUCUUCUGUACUUUAAUUUAAGAUCACAGAGAAAG